UCUGAGUCACUGGCUGCAUUAGAUAAAUAGACUGUUGCUUAAAUUCUUCAUUGCUCUUACAGAAUUUUUUACAGUCCUUAAGAACUACCUUCAGGUAGAAGUUAGUUUCACCCUUAAGGGAGGGACUGUUUGCAAGCUGUGAAGGCUUGGGUUACUUGGUGGGUUUUGUCUUUUUCCUCUCACAAAUGUUUAUGGCCCUUAAAAAAAAAAUCCACGUCAGAGUGGUAGGUGCCUGUCACAGAGGUACUCUGCGUGACUGUAUAAUUCCGAAUUGUAAAGCUACCUAAUGCAGUCUCGCCUUGAAAGUUGAGGGUCCUGAACGAUUUUUUGGCUUGCUCUUGCCAAGUCCAUAAAAGAACUUCCUCAAACUAGAUGUUACAGACAUUUAUUAUCGUGCAUUUGUGGGCUUCCUCUAACUCCCCUCAGCCUCCAGGACCUAGAGCUUGCUUCCAAGGAUCAUUGUCAGGUAUUGAGGAAUUCUGCAGACUAAAAGUUUCUACCCACUGAACUUUGCCUUUUUCUGAUCUACCUGCACUGUUUCUGAUUCAGAAAACUUUAGCCAGUAACUUCUUCAAGUUACACCCAGCGUGGACACGUCUCAGUUUUCCAGAGCUCCCCUUCUCCAGAGGCUUGAAGGUAUUGAGGAAUUCUGCAGACUAAAAGUUUCUACCCACUGAACUUUGCCUUUUUCUGAUCUACCUGCACUGUUUCUGAUUCAGAAAACUUUAGCCAGUAACUUCUUCAAGUUACACCCAGCGUGGACACUUCUCAGUUUUCCAGAGCUCCCCUUCUCCAGAGGCUUGAAGGUCACUUCUGAGUCACUGGCUGCAUUAGAUAAAUAGACUGUUGCUUAAAUUCUUCAUUGCUCUUACAGAAUUUUUUACAGUCCUUAAGAACUACCUUCAGGUAGAAGUUAGUUUCACCCUUAAGGGAGGGACUGUUUGCAAGCUGUGAAGGCUUGGGUUACUUGGUGGGUUUUGUCUUUUUCCUCUCACAAAUGUUUAUGGCCCUUAAAAAAAAAUCCACGUCAGAGUGGUAGGUGCCUGUCACAGAGGUACUCUGCGUGACUGUAUAAUUCCGAAUUGUAAAGCUACCUAAUGCAGUCUCGCCUUGAAAGUUGAGGGUCCUGAACGAUUUUUUGGCUUGCUCUUGCCAAGUCCACAAAAGAACUUCCUCAAACUAGAUGUUACAGACAUUUAUUAUCGUGCAUUUGUGGGCUUCCUCUAACUCCCCUCAGCCUCCAGGAUCUAGAGCUUGCUUCCAAGGAUCAUUGUCAGGUAUUGAGGAAUUCUGCAGACUAAAAGUUUCUACCCACUGAACUUUGCCUUUUUCUGAUCUACCUGCACUGUUUCUGAUUCAGAAAACUUUAGCCAGUAACUUCUUCAAGUUACACCCAGCGUGGACACUUCUCAGUUUUCCAGAGCCCCCCUUCUCCAGAGGCUUGAAGGUAUUGAGGAAUUCUGGAGACUAUAAGUUUCUAUCUGCUGAACUUUACUUUCUUCUGAUCUACCUGCACUGUUUCUGAUUCAGAAAACUUUAGCCAGUAACUUCUUCAAGUUACACCCAGCGUGGACACUUCUCAGUUUUCCAGAGCCCCCCUUCUCCAGAGGCUUGAAGGUCUACCUGCACUGUUUCUGAUUCAGAAAACUUUAGCCAGUAACUUCUUCAAGUUACACCCAGCAUGGAUACUUCUCAGUUUUCCAGAGCUCCCCUUCUCCAGAGGCUUGAAGGUCACUUCUGAGUCACUGGCUGCAUUAGAUAAAUAGACUGUUGCUUAAAUUCUUCAUUGCUCUUACAGAAUUUUUUACAGUCCUUGAGAACUACCUUCAGGUAGAAGUUAGUUUCACCCUUAAGGGAGGGACUGUUUGCAAGCUGUGAAGGCUUGGGUUACUUGGUGGGUUUUGUCUUUUUCCUCUCACAGAUGUUUAUGGCCCUUAAAAAAAAAUCCACGUCAGAGUGGUAGGUUACAAACGUUAUUGUUACAAAUGUACUCUGCGUGACUUUAGAAUUCUGAAUUAUAAAACUACUUAAUGGAAUCUCCCCUUGAAAGUUGGGGAUUGCGAACAAUUUUUUGGCUUACUCUUGCCAAGCAAUAAACAAACUAUGUAUGUUCAA